rnacentral:misc_RNA from 1 species
GUAACAAGGUUUCUGUAGGUGAACCUGCAGAAGGAUCAUUAGUGAAAGUUUCGGGCCUGCCAUACGGACGCAAACACGUCUCUGGCGCCCAUCACUAUAUCCAUACCAACCCCUGUGCACUGUGAUGACGAAUGUCAUCGAACAAAAAAAACUCGUAUGGUUGAAUGUACGUGAAAUUGUAGGUAUAGCCUACGAACUAUACACAACUUUCGACAACGGAUCUCUUGGUUCUCCCAUCGAUGAAGAACGCAGCGAAACGCGAUAGGUAAUGUGAAUUGCAGAAUUCCGUGAAUCAUCGAAUCUUUGAACGCACCUUGCGCUCCAUGGUAUUCCGUGGAGCAUGCCUGUUUGAGUGCCGCGAAUUCUCCCUCCCCUUACGGUGGCCGAAAGGCCGAAGUAGGGCGGACGGGGUAGGAUGGGUGUUGCUGCCUGGGGAUUGUACCAGGCUCGCCCGAAAUGCAUAAGCGCCAGGACCCUCGCUACCGCUCUCUAGGGAAGAGUGGCUAAGCGACCGCUGAGCAUGGCAUGAUACGUCAUUUGCUGUGUGUGGGCGGCCGGUUGGAGAGGUGUCUGCUUUACCAGCCCUUUUUUAAUUCUGGUCUCAAAUCAGGUAGGAUCACCCGCUGAACCUAAGCAUAUC